GGCUUCAGGAAAGAAAAAGAGAGCCCAGCAACCCCUUCGCAAGACCAGCGCCCCUGCAACCCAGACAUCACCUCUGGUUCUCUUGGCCAUGGAUGCUCCCUGCCCUGACCCAGGCCAAGGGGAUGUGCCCUGAGCCUCACUUCCAACCUUCCUCCUUCUUCUCUGGGGGCCACUCACAACUUUGGGGAGCAGCGGCAAGAUGUGCCGCAGGGCCCCUGCAUGUCAGUUUACCUGAGUCAGACAGGAGCACCUCCCUGUCUCUGGAAUCUCGUCGGGGCAGGGAGGCUGUCAGGGCGCAAGAAGAGGCGAGGUACGUCCCUGGCAUGGGAGUUGAUGAGGUGGAUGCACAGAGCUCCUCUCUCAGCGGCUGGUCUCCUGGCAGCCCUGAACACGGUCCUCUCCACAUAGCCAGAACUGCCCUGAGGAGACCAUGAUGAAUACCUGCAGUAAAGAAGAGAGCCUGGUGUCAGCGCCCUGUGCAUGAAUGAAGGAAUGAUGGAGUGAGUUCCACGUUUGUCAGGCUUCAGGGUCUCCUCUAGAACGAUUCCUUCAACCUCGAUCCACCAGACGUUCGCUGUGUUCCUCCCCUUGCUCAGCAAGUGUGAGGCUCUGCCGGAAUAGAAAGGAUGAUGCUACAUGCCCGACCUUCUGGAGCGCAGGCCGGCGCGGGAGCCUGCUGGUCAACAGGCAGUUGCAAUGGAGUUUGAUGAGAGGGGAGGGCAGUGAGGGACAUCCAAGAAGACUUGGAUGAGGGUGUUCAGGCAGGGCUUCUUGGGGGACGUGAUAUCUGAACUGAGCCAGGAACACUUGCACAGCUCUGAGGGUGAGUCUCCUUAAAUUUUGUACGCUAAGCCUCUACUUUUUUCUUUUUUUUUAACAUCUUUAUUGGAGUAUAAGUGCUUUACAAUGGUGUGUUAGUUUCUGCUUUAUAACAAAGUGAA